GCUGAACGCUGACAGAAUGCUUAACACAUCAGCAAUUGAUUGGUGGCGGACGGGUGAGUAACGCGUAAAGACCUUACCUCACAGUUAGGGCCCCCAUUUGGAAACGAAUGCUAAUACCUAAUCCUGUGAGAGAGCUUUGCUUCCCAUUAGCUAGUUGGAGAGGUACCGGCUCACCAAGGCGAUGAUGGGUAGCCGGCCUGAGAGGGGGAUCGGCCACAAGGGGACGGAGAAACGGCCCUUACGCCUACGGGAGGCAGCAGUGGGGAAUAGUGGACAAUGGACCAAAGUCUGAUCCAGAAAUUCUGUGGGAACGAUGAAGUUAUCGGAAUGUAAAGUGCUUUCAGUUGGGAAGCGGUACCAACAGAAGAAGUGACGGCUAAAGACGAGCCAGCAGCCGCGGUAAUAC
rnacentral:rRNA from 1 species